GAUCAGAUACGCAAACUGGAAAAGCGGCCAUGUCGAGAACGUGGUGAGUUUGUGGGUUCAACUCCCACUCUGAUCA
rfam:Planctopirus limnophila DSM 3776 chromosome, complete genome.